rnacentral:rRNA from 1 species
UACGGAGGGUGCAAGCGUUGUCCGGAUUUAUUGGGUUUAAAGGGUGCGUAGGCGGCCCGUUAAGUCAGUGGUGAAAGCCUCCAGCUCAACUGGAGAACUGCCAUUGAUACUGACGGGCUUGAGUACAGACGAGGUUGGCGGAAUUGAUUGUGUAGCGGUGAAAUGCUUAGAUAUGACAUAGAACACCAAUAGCGAAGGCAGCUUGCUACACGGUAAUUGACACUCAGGCACGAAAGCGUGGGGAGCAAACAGG